rnacentral:lncRNA from 1 species
GCCUCACAGUCAUGACCAGCAAGACACCAGCAGUCACAUAGUCACUCAGGUACAGGCCGGCCAGGUGCUGUUUCUCCCUCCUCUUGAUAUGCAGUGCUGCCCCAAAUGUUUCACUUGGCUAGAGAUGCAUUCCCGUGUGUGUGAUGUGGAAUUCCCCACAAAGGAGAAAACCGUCAUGAGAACACUUCAGUGCACGGCACUUGAUACAGAAGAAACAAACUGAACUAAUUUUCAUCUUAAAAGUUUAAAACACAAUUAAGUGAAACUUCCACAUAUAACCUUCUGCCAACACUGCAAAGGAUGUUAACAAAUUGUUGCUAAGUAGGGCAGUCAGACAGCUAUUCAUCACAGUCUUUUAACUUAAGAGAAUUUCAAGUGGACGCAAGGGACAAGAAGCAGAGAGCUGUCCCUGCACUGUGACUCAGCACUGCCUGGCCCCUGUCCCUCGUCACCCACAUCAGUGACUGUCCACAUCAGAGCCAUCGCAGCGGGGACUCUCCUUCAGCACUUCCACGUUUGUCUCAUGCAGUCCGUAGAGACCCUCAACGCAGGCACCAGCUGCUUCCCGGACAGUGUGAUGCACUUCUGGAAAAAGCUGUGGGUCUGGGCAUUUUCAGCCAGCUCUUAGCUCUUAAGGACACAGCAGCAUAUACUGCAGACCUGCCCCAGAAGCCAGUCUCAUUCCUAUUCAAGGAUCACAACUGAUCGUAAGACUGAUGGGGAGAAAGCACAAACGUGAAUCUUGCAAAGAUGUAAGAAAGGCUUUAGAACCAAAGCUUCAAGCCGUGUGACGUCACCAUCGUUGGGGAGUGCUAAUGCUAACCAGCGUGGUCCCGACACUCCCCGUGCCUCACAAGGAAAUGUAACAGGUAACACUGUCACAUCCCAGUCUCCAGGAACCUGGGCUGGAAGUGUAGGCCAGUGGUCAGGCUCUUGCCUAGCAAAGCACAAAGGCCAGGGUUUGAUCUUUUUACAAGAAAAAGGAGAAGGAGGAGGAGGAGGAAGAAAAAGAGGAGGAGGAAAAGAAGGAGGAGGACAGGGUAAAGGAGAAGAACAAGAAGGAGGUAGGUGGAGGUGAAUAAAUCUGCAUUCCUCUAGACUUUAACUCCCUUACUCUCUUUACUCACCAUUAAACACGUCUGAAGGAAACAGCAUGCAAAGACAGCAUCUGAAAG